rnacentral:rRNA from 1 species
UCGGGUGACGAGCGGCGGACGGGUGAGUAAUGUCUGGGAAACUGCCUGAUGGAGGGGGAUAACUACUGGAAACGGUAGCUAAUACCGCAUAACGUCGCAAGACCAAAGAGGGGGACCUUCGGGCCUCUUGCCAUCAGAUGUGCCCAGAUGGGAUUAGCUAGUAGGUGGGGUAAUGGCUCACCUAGGCGACGAUCCCUAGCUGGUCUGAGAGGAUGACCAGCCACACUGGAACUGAGACACGGUCCAGACUCCUACGGGAGGCAGCAGUGGGGAAUAUUGCACAAUGGGCGCAAGCCUGAUGCAGCCAUGCCGCGUGUAUGAAGAAGGCCUUCGGGUUGUAAAGUACUUUCAGCGAGGAGGAAGGCAUUGAGGUUAAUAACCUCAGUGAUUGACGUUACUCGCAGAAGAAGCACCGGCUAACUCCGUGCCAGCAGCCGCGGUAAUACGGAGGGUGCAAGCGUUAAUCGGAAUUACUGGGCGUAAAGCGCACGCAGGCGGUCUGUCAAGUCGGAUGUGAAAUCCCCGGGCUCAACCUGGGAACUGCAUUCGAAACUGGCAGGCUAGAGUCUUGUAGAGGGGGGUAGAAUUCCAGGUGUAGCGGUGAAAUGCGUAGAGAUCUGGGAGGAAUACCGGUGGCGAAGGCGGCCCCCUGGACAAAGA